rnacentral:rRNA from 1 species
CAGUAGCCGCGGUAAUACAGAGGGUGCGAGCGUUAAUCGGAUUUACUGGGCGUAAAGCGUGCGUAGGCGGCUUCUUAAGUCGGAUGUGAAAUCCCUGGGCUUAACUUAGGAAUUGCAUUCGAUACUGGGAAGCUAGAGUAUGGGAGAGGAUGGUAGAAUUCCAGGUGUAGCGGUGAAAUGCGUAGAGAUCUGGAGGAAUACCGAUGGCGAAGGCAGCCAUCUGGCCUAAUACUGACGCUGAGGUACGAAAGCAUGGGGAGCAAACAGGAUUAGAUACCCGGGUAGUCCCUGUCUCUUAUAC